GAUGAAGAACGCAGCGAAAUGCGAUACGUAAUGUGAAUUGCAGAAUUCAGUGAAUCAUCGAGUCUUUGAACGCACAUUGCGCCCCCUGGUAUUCCGGGGGGCAUGCCUGUCCGAGCGUCAUUGCUGCCCUCAAGCACGGCUUGUGUGUUGGGCCGCGCCGGCAACGGCGGGCCUCAAAAACAGUGGCGGCGCCAUCUGGUCCCUCAGCGUAGUAAUUCUUCUCGCUGCUGGGCCCCGGUGGCCGCUUGCCAGCAACCCCAAACUUUCUAUGGUUGACCUCGGAUCAGGUAGGGAUACCCGCUGAACUUAAGCAUAUCAAUAAGCGGAGGA
rnacentral:misc_RNA from 1 species